GAUGAACGCUGGCGGCGUGCCUAAUACAUGCAAGUCGAACGCGAGAGGAGGGAGCUUGCUCCCUCUGAUCGAGUGGCGGACGGGUGAGUAACACGUAGGCAACCUGCCCAUCAGCCGGGGAUAACUGCGGGAAACCGUGGCUAAUACCGGAUAAUCCUCUCCACCGCGGGGUGGGGAGUUGAAAGACGGUUUCGGCUGUCGCCGAUGGAUGGGCCUGCGGCGCAUUAGCUGGUUGGGGGGGUAACGGCCCACCAAGGCAACGAUGCGUAGCCGACCUGAGAGGGUGAUCGGCCACACUGGGACUGAGACACGGCCCAGACUCCUACGGGAGGCAGCAGUAGGGAAUCUUCCGCAAUGGACGCAAGUCUGACGGAGCAACGCCGCGUGAGUGAAGAAGGGUUUCGGCUCGUAAAACUCUGUUGUUAAGGAAGAACGCCAGGUAGAGUAACUGCUACCUGUGUGACGGUACUUAACCAGAAAGCCACGGCUAACUACGUGCCAGCAGCCGCAGUAA
rnacentral:rRNA from 1 species